rnacentral:piRNA from 1 species
UGAGGGCACUAGUCAUGUUCAUGGAGGAGU